ACCUGCGGAAGGAUCAUUACCGAGUGCGGGUCCUUUGGGCCCAACCUCCCAUCCGUGUCUAUUAUACCCUGUUGCUUCGGCGGGCCCGCCGCUUGUCGGCCGCCGGGGGGGCGCCUUUGCCCCCCGGGCCCGUGCCCGCCGGAGACCCCAACACGAACACUGUCUGAAAGCGUGCAGUCUGAGUUGAUUGAAUGCAAUCAGUUAAAACUUUCAACAAUGGAUCUCUUGGUUCCGGCAUCGAUGAAGAACGCAGCGAAAUGCGAUAACUAAUGUGAAUUGCAGAAUUCAGUGAAUCAUCGAGUCUUUGAACGCACAUUGCGCCCCCUGGUAUUCCGGGGGGCAUGCCUGUCCGAGCGUCAUUGCUGCCCUCAAGCCCGGCUUGUGUGUUGGGUCGCCGUCCCCCUCUCCGGGGGGACGGGCCCGAAAGGCAGCGGCGGCACCGCGUCCGAUCCUCGAGCGUAUGGGGCUUUGUCACAUGCUCUGUAGGAUUGGCCGGCGCCUGCCGACGUUUUCCAACCAUUUUUUCCAGGUUGACCUCGGAUCAGGUAGGGAUACCCGCUGAACUUAAGCAUAUCAAUAAGCGGAGGAAAAGAAACCAACCGGG
rnacentral:rRNA from 1 species